GGUCCUGGUCAGCUUUGCGGGGUGGGCAGUCAGCCUUUUUGUAGGAGCAGCUGUGCAAACCCAAGCAAAACUGACUGUGAAC
rfam:Salmo salar isolate Sally breed double haploid chromosome ssa05, whole genome shotgun sequence.